CGCUGGCGGCAGGCCUAACACAUGCAAGUCGAGCGGAUGAAGGGAGCUUGCUCCCUGAUUCAGCGGCGGACGGGUGAGUAAUGCCUAGGAAUCUGCCUGGUAGUGGGGGACAACGUCUCGAAAGGGACGCUAAUACCGCAUACGUCCUACGGGAGAAAGUGGGGGAUCUUCGGACCUCACGCUAUCAGAUGAGCCUAGGUCGGAUUAGCUAGUUGGUGAGGUAAUGGCUCACCAAGGCGACGAUCCGUAACUGGUCUGAGAGGAUGAUCAGUCACACUGGAACUGAGACACGGUCCAGACUCCUACGGGAGGCAGCAGUGGGGAAUAUUGGACAAUGGGCGAAAGCCUGAUCCAGCCAUGCCGCGUGUGUGAAGAAGGUCUUCGGAUUGUAAAGCACUUUAAGUUGGGAGGAAGGGCAUUAACCUAAUACGUUAGUGUUUUGACGUUACCGACAGAAUAAGCACCGGCU
rnacentral:rRNA from 1 species